GGGGUUGUAGCGCAGUGGUAGCGCAUAUGCUUUGCAUCGAGCCUGACAUGGUCCAGACAUGUUUCCGGUCUUUAGGAAGGCUCGCCGACGUGCAGAAUGCAUGGGGUCGUCGGUUCGAACCCGGCCAACUCCA
rfam:Magnaporthe oryzae 70-15 chromosome 2, whole genome shotgun sequence.